rnacentral:tRNA from 1 species
AAAGGGAGACCUAAUUCCGGUAGGAGACGAAAAAAAAGUAGUCCCUACCAAGAAUCAAUCCCAAAAGGUCGGAGCGAGGCAAAAUUGGCUUUCAAACUAGGUUCUGGGUUCACACAAGACCUGAAUCAGGAACAAGGGCUAUUAGCUCAGGUGGUUAGAGCGCACCCCUGAUAAGGGUGAGGUCCCUGGUUCGAGUCCAGGAUGGCCCACCUGCACAGGUGGCAAAAACAAAGAAGCGAGGAAUCAGCACCUGAUCUUACUUAUAUAGUAAGAGAGAAUGCUGGCUCUGAGUUCAGAGUCCAGAGGAACCUUGAAAACUGCAUAGAGCUAGGUGAAAAAGCCAAAAAAGAAGACCGCAAG